CAUCCCCCAUCUGCAAGGAGGAGGUUUUACAUGCACGCCCAUAGUCACCAGUGAGAAUAAGACAUACACACUCAUACACCAACCCACAACAAAACCUGCACAGGCACAGCAGGGGAGCUCGCACCAGGAAGCUGACUUAACCCAAACCACUCAGCGAUUUCUCGUCAUACUAUAUCUGGGUCUGCUGCCACUGCUGCCUCCAGAUGAACUAAACGCAGACUCUAGGACUGAUUUGGCCAGUACGUGCAGUGCUACCUGGUUACUUCUUCUUUUUUUUUUUUUCUUUUUCUAUAAUAUAAUUGUUCUGAUCUGGUUAAAAAUAAGCCAUCUGAAAACCAAGAACACAGAACUCCACUCUUCUUUUUUUCCUCCCCUAUCUCGCUUAGAGUAUUUGACUUCCGUAACGUUUAUUUUCGACAGCCACUUUCAGCUUCCUGCGUCUGAAACAUAAUUUGACUCACUGAAGAAUUAAAACUGACAGCACCACAGAGCUGUGUGGGAGAAAAGGGGAUUUUAGACUCAAGUGACACAAUCAAAUCUUGAAGUGAAGAAGUUUGGAUGGCUUCUCACCAAAUGGAAGUGAUCUAGAGAGCCCUCUGAGAACGUUGCAUCUCCGCAUCCAGCUCCUACUGCGUCGAGACGGUGCACU
rnacentral:lncRNA from 1 species